rnacentral:ribozyme from 1 species
AGCGUGAGAGGGAGAGGAAGGAGGCUAAGGCUAGGGAGGAGGAGAAGCAGCAGAAUGCGAUGAACGAGAAAAAGGAGAAGGAGUGGCACAAGGAAGAGAAGAGAAAGCUCUCCAAGGACGAACAGAGGGAGCAAAAAAUGAGCCUCUAUUUGAGGGUUU